GGGCGGCGCGGAAGCGGCGGCCGGGCAGCCAUGUCGCCUUUGUCUGCGGCGCGGGCGGCCCUGCGGGUCUACGCGGCGGGCGCUGCGGUGGUGUUGGCGCAGCUGCUGCGGCGCUGCCUCGGGGGCUUCGCGGAGCCAGUUUUUCCCCCACAACCCGACCGUGUGGCCAUAGUGACUGGAGGCACGGAUGGCAUCGGCUAUGCCACGGCGAAGCAGCUGGCGAGGCUCGGCAUGCACGUGAUCAUAGCCGGAAACAAUGACAGCAAAGCCCAAGACGUUGUGCAGAGACUAAAAGAGGAGACGUCGAAUGACAAAGUGGAGUUUUUAUACUGUGAUCUGGCUUCCCUGACGUCCAUCAGGCAAUUCGUCCAGAAGUUCAAGAAGAAGAAAAUCCCUCUCCAUGUCCUGGUCAAUAACGCCGGCGUGAUGAUGGUCCCGCAGAGGAAGACCAGAGACGGAUUUGAGGAGCACUUCGGGCUGAACUACCUGGGCCACUUCGUCCUCACCAACCUCCUGCUGGACUCCCUGAAGGAGGCCGGACGUCCCGGCCGCACCGCCAGGGUGGUGACCGUCUCGUCCGCCACGCAUUACGUGGGCGAGCUGCGCAUGCGCGACCUGCACGGCAGCCGCUGCUACUCCCCCCACGGCGCCUACGCCCAAAGCAAGCUGGCGCUCGUCCUGUUCACCUACCACCUGCAGAGACUGCUGGCCGCCCAGGGGAGCCCCGUGACCGCCAACGUGGCCGACCCGGGGGUGGUCGACACGGACCUGUACAGACACGUCUUCUGGGGCACGCGUCUCAUCCAGAAGAUGCUCGGCUGGUGGGCGUUCAAGACCCCAGAUGAGGGAGCCUGGACUUCCGUCUAUGCAGCGGUCACCCCGGACCUGGAGGGAAUCGGCGGCCGCUACCUUUACAACGAGAAAGAGACCAAGUCUCUGACGGUCACGUACGACCGAGAUCUCCAGAGACAACUGUGGGCCACAAGUUGCCAGAUGACCAGCAUCCCUGACGUGACCCAAGACACCCUCUUGGGGUAACGGCCACAUUGGGAAGACCUCGCCUCGGGCCGGCAAACGCAGGUCUGUGACCGAUCCCCGUGUCUGCCUUUUCCACAGCUGCUGCCUUCAGGGCUCUGUCCCCAACGGUCUCCUGUCUGCUGUCCUGCCUUUGCGGGAAAUCAGGGAACAAAAGAAAUAUUGAAUGUAGCCUCCAAGUGGCCAUGAGCAAUUGUGUGGCAAGUUUCUCCCAAGUGCCAGGAACCAUUAAAUGCUGCCUAAGCCAAGUGUUCCAUGUUUCUUGAGUAACACACGGCAGGGAGUAGUUUUGAGGAGACAUGUUCCAAGUGACACAGGCACUUUGACACAAGCAUGAAGCGUUGGGUCUCCAGAGGUUUCUGGGUCCCGUGAGUCCUUUGUUCUCCCACGCACCCACUAUUCUGGACACUCAGCUUGGACUCCUGGGUCCCUAAGACAGAGAGACAUGAGCCUUCCUCAGUCUGUUGGGUCCAGGAUGAGGUGGAAACCCAUGGUCUACUCCACACUUUGACAAUGACCCGGCCCCGGGUGCCACCUUCCGCCCGUAGGUCUGCUGACAUGAGCUCAAGCCCAUCGUCAUGUGGAUAUGACCAAUGCCAGUCAGGGAUUCUGUAGAACAGGUGGGCAGACAGGGUCCUGGACGGCACUCCCCAUAGAGAUCUAUAGGAUGGGGAGGAAGAGAGGGGUCUGGACAGCUCUUGCCAUGGGUUGUGUCCCCAUGGGUUGUGUCCCUAACAGAAUGUCUAAGGUCACUGGGGUUGUGUCCAGUCGGUCUCUCUAGGAGGUGAAGUACGAUCCGGUUCAAAAGAUACCUGCACAUGCUACCCUCCCAGAACCUGUGAAUGUGAUGCUACUUGGAAAGAUAAUCUUUGGGAGGGAAUUAGGACAAGCGCAUCAUCUUGGCUUCUCGAGGCAGACCCAAUGUGAUCCCAAGUUUCCUCUUCUGAAAUAAGUACAGACAGAUUUCAUGACAAACGAGGAAGAGGUCAUGUGACGAUGGGGGCAGAGAUUGGAGAGACGCAGCCACACACAGGGACUCCUGGAGCCCCCAGAAGGUGGAAGAGGCCAGAAGGAUCUUCCCCGGGAGCCUCUGGAGGGAACGUGACCCUGCCCCGCCUGGCUCUCAAGAGCCCCGCCCCGCCUGGGUCUCCAGAGCUGGGGGAAGGUGAACUCCUAUGCUUCUAAGCCACCAACCAAUUGAUAGGAAUUUGGAACCUGAUAGAAUCUGAUGGAAAUUGAUAGGACCUCAUACAGUUCCCGCCGCUUCCGAAUAUCUCACGCACUCUACUGGGCAGGAUCCUUGACUUUAGGGCUCACCCUCACCCCCAGGAGGUGAGGGCUCCUCCUCUGAAGGCUCAGAGGCUCUGAAGGCUCCUCUGAAGGGCUCAGUCCUCCGUCUGAAGAUGUCCUCAAAUUCUAACAACGACAAACUAGCCGUUGGAAAUGUAAUAGAAAGGACACUGUGUGUGUGCCUCUGGACUGCAGGUGGCAUUUCCAGACCAGUGACCACAGGCUGGUCAUCUCACUCUCCAUUCCCUCAGUCGACAGAAUCUCAUCAAAGACUCAAACCCGAUGCCAACUCCGGGCACACGCAUUCUUUGGAACGACAGCCUGCAGCUCUUCCAGUGGGGGGUUCACACUGGACAUGGGGACAGGUGCUUUAUAGUUCGCUGCUUGGAUGUUCAGGGUGGAUGGACUGGCGCCAUGAGGCGUUCUCCUUCGGGAAUGGAGCGUCCCUUGACGGGAACUUAAUAACAUGCAAAGGAAUGUCUUUGCUCUGGUUUGGGAGACGUGACAAUGCCCGGGGUGAGUUCUCCGUGUUUCCGUGGCCAAGGUGGUAAACCCUACAGAGACCUCCUUCUCAACAAAGAUGCUGAAGAUGUUUCUGAAGGUCCACUAAGGCUCGUGGGGAGCCACUAAGGCUGGGGGAGCCCCUGAAAAGGAUUGCUGGUCAUCUCCAAUUUCAACAGAAUUCCAGAAGCAAUUCCUCUGGCUAAAUCAGCAUUUCUGUAGAGCUUCUGAAGGUAUCUUCUUGAUCUGCCAAGUUCAAGGACCGCCCCCCCUCCCCUGAGCCAGGCAUAUUUGAAUUACAGCUUCCAGCCCUGGGUAUCGGCACGCCCUCAGACUGCUCAGAUAUCCUACCAAAGCCCUAGACUCCGGACUAAUGUCUUUUAGAACUAGAAUCCCUUCCUUAAUUAAACCAAGAGCGAGCUGUGGCUCAUCUAGUGUUCUGAACAGCCAGGAAUUUGCACCGCAAAACAGAAUCUUGAGUUCUGGAAGGUGCCAACGUUGGAGCAUUUAUAUGUCAUCAGAGAACCUAUUACAGCUUGAGGCCAUUGUACACAAAUGCCAGCGACCGUGUCCAUGAUCACAAAGGCACUUUCCAAGUCGAGGCUCAGGAUGGCUCCUGGCCAAGCCGGCAUCUUCCACCGCUGAGAUAACACACACGCCGGGAUUUGACAGAUGCCACAGUCCCCAAGCUGAGAAGACGCGCUUCACAAACAAUUUGAACGUUGUAGGACCCUGGCCUCAGAUUCCUCCUCCUUGUUACGUGACAGCCCUUAUGUUUCUUUUCCUCCCUGGGAGAGAGAGGGAAGAAAACAACAACAUAGUUCUGGACAAGGUAGCUUGUUCCCUCGACACCGGAUCAUAAAAUUCCUCGGAGACAUUUCCCAGAAGCUGGAGAAAUCGUGCGGAUCUCUGGGUGCGUUCUCAGCUACUGAGGACCUGACAUGCUGGGGACCAGGAAGCGGAAAGAGGAAAAAGGUCCAGAUUGUCACCCGGGAAGGUCUGGAAACACGAAGAAACUCAAGAUGCUCCUUUCACUUGAGGGAGGAUCCCGUCUAACGCCUUGGAUGUGAGUUGGCGCGAACCAAACCCGCACAGAACAAUCCCCGUGCCCUCUGUGCUCAAGGAGACCCGGAGAACCUGGUAAGCGUGGGCUGAGUGCAGGUGAGUGUGCCCGUGGCCUCUGUGUGCUCGCCAUGCACCAUCAAUGAGUCACAGAUCAAAUAAAACCUGUGCAUCGACUCCCUCUGUCUCCACCAGAGCCCUGGCCAGGAAGAUGCUUUUAUGGCCAUUGUUUUCUUAAUGACAACAUCAAGGCUGAUGAUAAGUAUAUUAGCUAUUAUUUAGAUAUAUUGUAUAUUUUCAUAUAUUACGCAUGACCUCAUGUGCAAGGGCUUGGAUACACGUACAGACAGCGUCAGAGGCGGGCAGAAGACAGAACUGGUAUUCACAACAUGCUCGUGAGCUGUCGGAAAACCCACACGGCUCAGAAUUGUGGAAUCGGAAGGACCUUCCUUCCAGGCAGGAAACUGCUUUGCCCGGAAUUGUUGUUGGCUUCUCCCUGCAAGUGGCCGUGGCUCUCACAGCCCUGGUGUCUGCGUCCCAGAUUUCCCCCGAGAACUCAGAGUCUAGGGCUUGGUCAGUACACCACAUCACAGCAGAAGUCCCCUAGGGGUCGGCUGUGCUAACGUCACGCACUGUGUCCCCGACCAAACGCCCACAGGGCUGCCCUCAGCCCCCUCGGACACAGCAGGUGGUCACAUGGCAUGCUCCGCAUUCGAAUCUCCGUAUCCUCUGUGCAUUGACAGGCAGAGGACGUAUAAAGAAUAAAAAGGCACUUUCC